UACGUAGGGGGCAAGCGUUGUCCGGAAUCAUUGGGCGUAAAGCGCGUGUAGGCGGCCCGAUAAGUCCGCUGUGAAAGUCCAGGGCUCAACCCUGGAAUGCCGGUGGAUACUGUCGGGCUCGAGUCCGGAAGAGGCGAGUGGAAUUCCUGGUGUAGCGGUGAAAUGCGUAGAGAUCCGGAGGAACACCAGUGGCGAAGGCGACACGCUGGGCCGUACCUGACGCUAAAGCGCGACAGCAUGGGGAGCAAACGGG
rnacentral:rRNA from 1 species